GGAGGGAUGGCCGAGUGGUUGAAGGCGCACGCCUGGAAAGUGUGUAUACGGCAAACACCGUAUCGUGGGUUCGAAUCCCACUCCCUCCGCCA
rnacentral:tRNA from 1 species